rnacentral:rRNA from 1 species
GAGUUUGAUCUUGGCUCAGAUUGAACGCUGGCGGCAGGCCUAACACAUGCAAGUCGGGCGGUAGAGAGAAGCUUGCUUCUCUUGAGAGCGGCGGACGGGUGAGUAAUGCCUAGGAAUCUGCCUGGUAGUGGGGGAUAACGCUCGGAAACGGACGCUAAUACCGCAUACGUCCUACGGGAGAAAGCAGGGGACCUUCGGGCCUUGCGCUAUCAGAUGAGCCUAGGUCGGAUUAGCUAGUUGGUGAGGUAAUGGCUCACCAAGGCGACGAUCCGUAACUGGUCUGGGAGGAUGAUCAGUCACACUGGAACUGAGACACGGUCCAGACUCCUACGGGAGGCAGCAGUGGGGAAUAUUGGACAAUGGGCGAAAGCCUGAUCCAGCCAUGCCGCGUGUGUGAAGAAGGUCUUCGGAUUGUAAAGCACUUUAAGUUGGAGGAAGGCAGUAAAUUAAUACUUUGCUGUUUGACGUUACCGACAGAAUAAGCACCGGCUAACUCUGUG